AACGAACGCUGGCGGCGUGCCUAACACAUGCAAGUCGAACGAGAAAGUGGCUUCGUCUCCGAGUAAAGUGUCGCACGGGUGAUUAACACGGGUGUAACCUGCCUCUAAGAUUGGCAUAACUCGUCGAAAGAUGAGCUAAUACCGAAUAAGACCACAGUUCCCGCGGGAACAUUGGUCAAAGGUAGCCUCUGCUUGCAUGCUAUCACUUAGAGAUAGGCCUGCGCACCAUUAGCUAGUUGGUAGGGUAACGGCCUACCAAGGCAAAGAUGUUUAGCUGGUCUGAGAGGAUGAUCAGCCACACUGGAACUGAGACACGGUCCAGACUCCUACGGGAGGCAGCAGUGGGGAAUAUUGCGCAAUGGGCGAAAGCUUGACGCAGCAACGCCGCGUGAGUGAUGAAGGCCUUCGGGUCGUAAAGCUCUGUCGGGAGGAAAGAAUGCUCCUGAGGUUAAAAGCCUCGGGAGGUGACGGUACCUUAAAAGGAAGCACCGGCUAACUAUGUG
rnacentral:rRNA from 1 species